rnacentral:lncRNA from 1 species
GAAAGAGCAUCCUUUCUCUUUUCCCUGAAAAAAGCCACAUACAUUUUUCCUCAUCAAUGGCUGCUUCCCAAAUCCCCAAAACUAAUUGAUUCCUCAAGAAAUCUCACCUUAUCAAAAGAAAAAGCUGAACAUAAUCAAAAUCAUAUUUGGGUUUGCUCCUGUUAUUGCAUUUUCAUCAUCAAGAUCUCUGUUUCAGUCAACUUUUAAAUAAAAAAGAUUACUUUUUAACACUCGCAAGUUGUUUGAUGAAGUGAUUUGUUUGAAGAAGCAACAACACCAAAGAACUCAGGGUGUCAUCUCAAAGUGUUCUUUUUCCUUCAGGGAAGCACCGGUAGGCAGAAGGAUUCGACGGUUGGUGUGCUGGUGAUGGGUUCUAUCGGCUGUUAGUAUGUAUAAGAAAGGGAGAGAAAGAUGAAACUGCGUAUGUGGUUGCAGUGGUAUUCAAAAUACAAUCUUUGUUUUCCAUCACAUGUUUUUAACAAUAACAAAUUAUUUAUUUUGGGAACGAGAAAGGAUUGUACAUUCCUUUCUUGAAAAAGGAUGACGUGAAGUACAUAAAAACGGUGGUAAUUUCAAAUAUCGCCAUAUAGGUAUAAUUAACUUAAAAACUAAUAUAAAAUAUGAAAUAUUACGAGUUAGUUGAAGAAAACUUAUGAUUUUCUCUUUUAUGAUAACUAGAAAAAAAUGUUUAAAUAAUUUGUUUUUUAUGUUCUAACAACAUCUGUCGUUAAAAGGCUUGGAAAUCAAGGUAGAACAACUUCGUUGUAGUCUUUUUUAAGAUAUCAUUAGUGUGGGUAACAUAUCGGUAUUGUGGUGUGUGGAACUAAUACCGUCCAAACAAUAUAGACACCACGUCAAAUCCAGUACUAUAGAAACUGUUACUAAUAUUUGUUUUUUAUAGUUUUGGACUGAUUAGCAUGUUUCGAUCACAUUUUGGUCAUAUUAUGACUUAGUUUGUUGGGUCUAAUUUUUCAGUUGUUAUUUGGUCAUAUUAUGACUUUGCUUUUUGGGUUUUUUCUUUCGGUUGUUAUAUUGAGUCAUGAGAUCGUACUGAACCGAAUAAUACCGACCAAAUUUCCGCCGCAACGCGCGGUAGAAUUU